rnacentral:rRNA from 1 species
GAUGAACGCUAGCGGCAGGCCUAACACAUGCAAGUCGAGGGGUAGAGGAAGCUUGCUUCCUUGAGACUGGCGCACGGGUGCGUAACGCGUAUGCAAUCUACCUUGUACUGAGGGAUAGCCCAGAGAAAUUUGGAUUAAUACCUCAUAGCAUUAUGAAAUCGCAUGGUUUUAUAAUUAAAGUUCCAACGGUACAAGAUGAGCAUGCGUCCCAUUAGUUAGUUGGUAAGGUAACGGCUUACCAAGACAAUGAUGGGUAGGGGUCCUGAGAGGGAGAUCCCCCGCACUGGUACUGAGACACGGACCAGACUCCUACGGGAGGCAGCAGUGAGGAAUAUUGGUCAAUGGACGCAAGUCUGAACCAGCCAUGCCGCGUGCAGGAUGAAGCAUCUAUGGUGUGUAAACUGCUUUUAUACGGGAAGAAACACUCCUACGUGUAGGAACUUGACGGUACCGUAAGAAUAAGGAUCGGCUAACUCCGUGCCAGCCGCCGCAGUAAGAC